UACGUAGGGGGCAAGCGUUGUCCGGAAUCAUUGGGCGUAAAGAGCGUGUAGGCGGCCAGAUAAGUCCGCUGUGAAAUCUCGAGGCUCAACUUCGAGCUGUCGGUGGAAACUGUCUGGCUAGAGUCCGGAAGAGGAGAAUGGAAUUCCUGGUGUAGCGGUGAAAUGCGCAGAUAUCAGGAGGAACACCGGUGGCGAAGGCGGGUCUCUGGGCCGAAACUGACGCUGAGGAGCGAAAGCGUGGGGAGCGAACAGG
rnacentral:rRNA from 1 species